rnacentral:rRNA from 1 species
GUGGGGAAUUUUGCGCAAUGGGGGAAACCCUGACGCAGCAACGCCGCGUGAGUGAUGAAGGCCUUCGGGUCGUAAAGCUCUGUCAGAGGGGAAGAAGUGUGAGGUGGCUAAUAUCCAUUUCACUUGACGGUACCUUCAAAGGAAGCACCGGCUAACUCCGUGCCAGCAGCCGCGGUAAUACGGAGGGUGCGAGCGUUGUUCGGAAUUAUUGGGCGUAAAGCGCGUGUAGGCGGUUUUUUAAGUCUGAUGUGAAAGCCCUGGGCUCAACCCGGGAGGUGCAUUGGAAACUGGGAGACUUGAAUACGGGAGAGGGCAGUGGAAUUCCUGGUGUAGGAGUGAAAUCCGUAGAUAUCAGGAGGAACACCGGUGGCGAAGGCGGCUGCCUGGACCGAUAUUGACGCUGAGACGCGAAAGCGUGGGGAGCAAACAGGAUUAGAUACCCCAGUAGUCC